rnacentral:rRNA from 1 species
GACGAACGCUGGCGGCGUGCUUAACACAUGCAAGUCGAACGCGCCUGUCCUCUGGGUUUCUGGGGGGUGGGUGAGUGGCGAACGGGUGAGGAACACGUGAGUAACCUGCCCCCUUCUUCGGGAUAACGGUCUGAAAGGGCUGCUAAUACCGGGUAUUCACUGGUCUCCGCAUGGGGUCUGGUGGAAAGGUUUUUUUCUGGUGGGGGAUGGGCUCGCGGCCUAUCAGCUUGUUGGUGGGGUGAUGGCCCACCAAGGCUUUGACGGGUAGCCGGCCUGAGAGGGUGACCGGUCACAUUGGGACUGAGAUACGGCCCAGACUCCUACGGGAGGCAGCAGUGGGGAAUAUUGCACAAUGGGCGCAAGCCUGAUGCAGCGACGCAGCGUGAGGGAUGGAGGCCGUCGGGUUGUGAACCUCUUUCGCCCGUGGUCAAGCCGCGACGUGGGUCGUGGUGAGGGUAGUGGGUAAAGAAGCGCCGGCUAACUACGUG